GAACCCAAUAGUUGACACGACUUUUAAUCUGUAGGUCCAGGGUUCGAGUCCCUGCGCGCUCACCA
rnacentral:tRNA from 1 species